GGAAAAAUUUAAAUACUCUUCCGUGGUUCACACUUUAUCAUUUUAGUACCGUAUAAUUUCAAGUGUAUCAGGUUAGUAUUUUAUGGUUUCGCACUUUCUCACUUUAGUACUAUGUGGUUUAAUAUUUCCUUAAAUUAUAUACCUCGAAAUAAAUAAUAAAAAGAGAAUUAAAACCACAUUGUAUUAACUUGAUACAAAAAUAAAACUAUAGGGUACUAACUUAAUAUACUUGAAACCACAGGAUAAUAAAGUAAAAAAGUGCGAAACCAUAUGGUACUAACUUAAUACACUCUAAACCACAAAGCACUAAAGUUAGAAAGUACAAAACCACACGGGAUAUUUAAAGUUUUUUCGGAAAAAAAAGAUAAAGUUAUUUUUUUAAUUAUUUUAAAAAAUUAGUAAAAUUAUAAAAUAAUUGAAUUUUUAAUUUUGA
rnacentral:lncRNA from 1 species